UGGGGAAUAUUGCACAAUGGGCGCAAGCCUGAUGCAGCCAUGCCGUGUGUGUGAAGAAGGCCUUCGGGUUGUAAAGCACUUUCAGCGGGGAGGAAGGCGGUGAGGUUAAUAACCUCACAGAUUGUCGUUACCCGCAGAAGAAGCACCGGAUAAUUCCGUGCCAGCCGCCGCGGUAAUACGGAGGGUGCAAGCGUUAAUCGGAAUUACUGGGCGUAAAGCGCACGCAGGCGGUCUGUCAAGUCGGAUGUGAAAUCCCCGGGCUCAACCUGGGAACUGCAUUCGAAACUGGCAGGCUAGAGUCUUGUAGAGGGGGGUAGAAUUCCAGGUGUAGCGGUGAAAUGCGUAGAGAUCUGGAGGAAUACCGGUGGCGAAGGCGGCCCCCUGGACAAAGACUGACGCUCAGGUGCGAAAGCGUGGGGAGCAAACAGG
rnacentral:rRNA from 1 species